rnacentral:rRNA from 1 species
UCCUACGGGAGGCAGCAGUGAGGAAUAUUGGGCAAUGGACGAAAGUCUGACCCAGCAACGCCGCGUGGAGGAUGAAUGCCGUAAGGUUGUAAACUCCUUUUGAGAGGGACGAAAACCCAUAUUUCGUAAGGGAUAUGGUUUGACUGUACCUUUAGAAGAAGCCCCGGCUAACUACGUGCCAGCAGCCGCGGUAAUACGUAGGGGGCAAGCGUUGUCCGGAUUUACUGGGUGUAAAGGGCGCGUAGGCGGAUUUGUAAGUCAGAGGUGAAAGCCCGCAGCUUAACUGCGGAACUGCCUUUGAUACUGCUUAUCUUGAGUUCGGAAGAGAGAAGCGGAAUUCCAGGUGUAGUAGUGAAAUACGUAGAUAUCUGGAAGAACACCAGUGGCGAAGGCGGCUUCUUGGUCCGUAACUGACGCUGAGGCGCGAAAGCGUGGGGAGCAAACAGGAUUAGAUACCCCGGUAGUCCAAGCCG